UCUUAAAGCAGUAACCCAUGACAAUUUCCAGAUUAGUACAACUCUUAGAGCAGUUACCCAUGACAAUUUCCAGAUUGGUAUUCUAAGUGUGAUUGUGUAUGCUUGCUUGCGAGGAAUUUCAAGUUUAAUUUGUAAUAAUUGUCUGCAUCUCAUUUUAUCAUUUACAAUCCUGUUCCAUUGAUUUGGUAUUGGAGCAGAUAGCAACAACCAUUUCAAUGGACAUGCAUCUAUUCCUCAGAAUUUUAGAACUCCACUAUUGUUACAAGUGGUUGCAUCCUAUUCCUCAGAAUUUUAGAAAGAAACAAAACAAUGUAUAGAAUUUGCAUCUCAUGUAUGGUUUAUGAACUUUCAACAUGCCUAAUUUCUUUUGAAGGUCAAGUGGUGGACAUGGGACUAACAACUACAUCCUUACUGAAUUCUGAGAAGUUUCCUGUCAUAGUCCCGAAUUCAUUAUUUUCCAGUCAGGUCACUCAUUCCUACCAACAUGCUGCAAAUGAGUAAUCCUCAUCUUGAAAAUCAGUCUGAUCCACUCAGUAGUGGACCACAACUGAUGCUUACACGAGAUGACUGUCGAAAGCUUUAUUCGAGUUUUGGUUCAUUGUAUCCAUUUGGUCAUGAGGAACUUGUUGUUUGUGAGGACAUUGAUCAGGUAAGUUUCUAUGGAAAUUGCAUGAAAACAUUGUGAGAAAGCACCAUUGAUUUUCUCAUGUGUGGUUUCAGGGCGCAGACAUAAACAGAGAACAAUGGAAUCACUCUACAUGGAACCUGCUUAUCUGGAUUCACCUCAUCUAAAUAAUUCAUAAAAUUGUACUUUGAAGGAUUUUGUUUCAUAUUUGUCAUUGAUGAUGCUUCUCUCUGUUUCUUUAAAGACAGCUGUUGAGGACAUUAGAGGUAAUUCAUUGCAAUUAUGCUACAAUAUUAGAUGGUUUUUUUUCCUGAUAACUGCUUCAGGCAUUUUCACAGUUUACACUACUUAAUGAAUGGUCAGAUCUUUGGCAUGUGUGCUAUCUGAUGGUGGGAAUCAUUUUUGCAUUUUUGCUAUCUAAUGAAUGGUCAAAUUAGAACACAAAUUGCAUUUUUGCAGGCAAUCGAGAUUGCUUUCAAAGUUGAAAUCAUGCAAUUUUUAGGUUUUUCAUAGUUUUUUAUUUUUAUUAUUUUUAUUAUAGUUCAGACAUGGUGAUUUUGGACUCCAGAUUUUGCCUUUCGUAGAAAUUGUGGGUUUGGAUGCAAAUUAGAGCACAGAUUGCAAUUUUACAGGUAAUUGGGAUUACUUUCAAAGUUGAAUGCAUGCCAUUUCAGGGUUUUUGCCUAAUUGCUAGACCAUAUUCUGCUUAUGAAGAUGGUGAUUUUGGAACUUAUUAGUUAUUAAGAUAGUGAUUCUGGAACAUCUUAGAAAUUACGGCUUGGGAAAUUAAUUAGAGCAGAAAAUUACGGUUUUUAGGUAGUUUAGACUUGUUCCAAGUUGAUGCAUGCGAUUACAGUAUUUUCAUGCGGUUUUUGAGUUUAGAAUGCUGCUUUAAUCUCCUAAUCUUUGGUUUCCAUAGAAAUUACAUUUAUCAAAUGCAAAUCGUAGCAGAAGAGUGCAUUUUUCAUGUAUUUGGGACUGUUUUUGAGGUUGAAUGCUUGUUAUUUUUGGUAUUUUCUCUAGUUCAAUAAUUUGUUCUAAGUCUGGGAGUUGUUCAAACUCCAAUUCAAUAAUCUAUUCCAGUAUUUGGUGAGUUCCAGCAUGAACCCUAUCUGAAUGAAAGAAUCUGUUUGGCUUUGCAGCAGCGAAAAAUAGAUGAAACUAGUCUGUUUAUGCUGGUUAUGAUUUUGGUUAUUUAUCAAUUUAUUUGUAUUGCAUCUCUAGUCCAAUUCUUUGUCAAAAGCCGAGUUAAUUGUUUGUAAUGAAUAGAGAACUUACCGUAUUGUGCACCGGGUUUGUACUUGUGGGGUCCAUGGUUUAUCCAAGCCAUUGAUUCGAUGUCCCUCAUCAUGGAUGGCCAUGCCCCCAUAUUUCUGAAAUUGGAAGAUCAGAGUGAUGAAAUCUUUCGCCUUCCUUCCAUUGAAAUGUGGCUUGUUGGUGCAUUACUUCUUAACCAUAUAUUUGCAUGCCACAGCGAUGGAAA